rnacentral:misc_RNA from 1 species
GAAAUGCGAUAAGUAAUGUGAAUUGCAGAAUUCAGUGAAUCAUCGAAUCUUUGAACGCACCUUGCACCCUUUGGUAUUCCGAAGGGUAUGCCUGUUUGAGUGUCAUUAAAUUCUCAAUCUUUUAAUGCUUUAUGGUAUUAAAAGUAUUGGAUGUGGAGGUUUAUUGCUGGCUUUAUUUAUAAAGUUGGCUCCUCUUAAAUGCAUUAGUGGCUUCUUUGAAGGAUCCCCAUAUAAUGGUGUGAUAGUAUAUCAACAUCAUAUAAUGGCUAGGUCAUGUAAAAAAUAAAGGAGUUGCUUUCUAACUGUCUUUUUUUGACAAUUUGAACCAUUUGACCUCAAAUCAGGUAGGACUACCCGCUGAACUUAA